AGGCAACACCCUUAUUACCUGAAAGGAAUUUUGAAGCAAAAGGGUGAGGACAACUAGCUCAGUAAAUAAUAUCAUGACUAAAGAUAAUUAAAUUGUCAAUAGCCUUCAUCAGUAAUAAAUUAGAGAUUUAGAACAUAUGGUAGAUGAUAAAACUUUUCAACCAUAGUUGCAGCGGAACGAGCAAUCCAUUAGAAGAGUCAAAUAGACCAUAAAGUCUAUUAUCUUCUCUAUGUUAAAAGUCCACCAACAAUGCUUUAACCCUGUAACAUUAAUCAACAGAUCCUGUUCACAGUCAUGUGAAUAACUCAUAAUCAUAAUUGUAGUUCUAAUUUUCUCUUCUCAUCCAAGACGAAGAUAUUUUUCAUCACAUGUCUUUACCUGAAACAUCAAAUAUCAUGGUUAUACCAAAUCACAUUUCUUGUUCAUAAUCAUAAUAAUAAGUUCAUCUUUGCACUACGAGCCAAAGAUAUUCAUUAACAGUUCAUCUUUGCACUACAUGCCAAAGAUAUUUAACAACAGGUCAUCUUUGCACUACACGCCAAAGAUAUUCAACAACAGGUCAUCUUUGCACUACAGACCAAAGAUAUUCAACAACAAUUCAUCUUUGCACUACAGGCCAAAGAUAUUAAUAUCUCAAAGAGAUACAUAAUCAUUUUAGAAUUUAUAUAAACAAUAAUUAUAACCAUGUUAAUCAAUUCACCUUUGCACAUAAGCUAAAAAUAUUCAAUUGUAAAUUCAAUUGUCAUGAUUAUACCAGUCAACAAUUCAUCUUUGCACUACUGGACAAAGAGAACUCAUAGUCACGAUCAUACCAAUAAUCUACCCAUCUUUAUACUUAAGUCAAAGAGAAAUUUCAUCACCGGGAUUAUAAAAAUGUUAUAUAUGAUAAUAAAAACAAUAUGAUCAAAAUAUGGAUUUAAU
rnacentral:lncRNA from 1 species